rnacentral:rRNA from 1 species
GACGAACGCUGGCGGCGUGCUUAACACAUGCAAGUCGAACGGAAAGGCCCUGCUUUUGUGGGGUGCUCGAGUGGCGAACGGGUGAGUAACACGUGAGUAACCUGCCCUUGACUUUGGGAUAACUUCAGGAAACUGGGGCUAAUACCGGAUAGGAGCUCCUGCUGCAUGGUGGGGGUUGGAAAGUUUCGGCGGUUGGGGAUGGACUCGCGGCUUAUCAGCUUGUUGGUGGGGUAGUGGCUUACCAAGGCUUUGACGGGUAGCCGGCCUGAGAGGGUGACCGGGCACCAUGGGGACUGGAUUACGGCCCAGACUCCUACGGGAGGAAGCAGGGGGGAUUAUUGCACAAUGGGCGGAAGCCUGAUGAAGAAACGCGGCGUGGGGGAGGAGGGCCUCGGGUUGUAAACCGCUUUCGCCUGUGACGAAGCGUGAGUGACGGUAAUGGGUAAAGAAGCACCGGCUAACUACGUG